rnacentral:rRNA from 1 species
CCUACGGGUGGCUGCAGUGAGGAAUAUUGGUCAAUGGACGGAAGUCUGAACCAGCCAUGCCGCGUGCAGGAAGACGGCUCUAUGAGUUGUAAACUGCUUUUGUACAAGGGUAAACCUGAAUACGUGUAUUCAGCUGAACGUACUGUACGAAUAAGGAUCGGCUAACUCCGUGCCAGCAGCCGCGGUAACACGGAGGAUCCAAGCGUUAUGCGGGCUUAUUGGGUUUAAAGGGUGCGUAGGCGGAUGAGUAAGUUAGAGGUGAAAUGUCCGGGGUGAACUCGGGAACUGCAUUUAAUACUGUUGGUCUAGAGAGUGGGUGCGGUAGGCGGAAUGUAUGGUGUAGGGGUGAAAUGCUUAGAGAGCAUACAGAACACCGAUUGCGAAGGCAGCUUACCAGUCUAUAUCUGACGUUGAGGCGCGAAAGCGUGGGGAGCAAACAGGAUUAGAUACCCGAGUAGUC